GUGCUUGCUUCCUCAGCACAUAUACUAAAAUUGGAGCGAUAGAGAGGAAGGUUAGCAUGGCCCUGCACAAGGAUGGCACGCAAAUUUGUGAAGGUUCCAUAUUUAA
rnacentral:snRNA from 1 species